GUGCGAGACCGAUAGCGAACAAGUACCGUGAGGAAAAGAUGAAAAGAACUUUGAAAAGAGAGUUAAAGAGUACCUGAAACUGCUGAAAGGGAAGCGAAUCGUAUCCAGUGUCUAUAAUCUGCGGCAUAUUUCAUUGGCGGCGGUGCGCGUGCUUUUGCGUCGGAAGCGGCUUUUGUUGCUCUGUGCUUUUGCUGUGCGUGGUGUUGCUGGUGCCCUGUGUUGCGGUGGGACGUCAGAGUCAGUUUGUAUGCUGCGGGAAAUGGCUGCCGAGGAGGUAGGUCGAGAUUUCGGUCUUGGCUGUUAUAUCUUGGUGGUUUGUUGUCGUGGUUGAGACUGAGGUGCCUACAAUGUGCUUUUGAGUGUACCGGGUUCUCAUUUGGUGGACUGUUUGGAUAGCUUGCUAUGCUUGUGGUUUUUUCAUCGGGUGAUUGAGUCUGGUGGUAACUUGUUGCUGUUCGGGACUUUGAA
rnacentral:rRNA from 2 species